CUGUCGCACGUCGCCUUCUAUGUGUUGCGCAUCGACAUGGAUGCCGCCAUGUCAAGAAGCGCCGCAAGAAGGACGCCCGGACCACACUUGACCCUGAGCAUGUCCGCCGGACCGGUGGUGAUCCUGGCGCUGGACCCAGCAACACUGCAGCAAUUGCGGCAUCGCCGCAGCCAGCGCCACGUCAAGACCGAUGGGUGCGUCCUCCAUCGCCUUCGCUGGAGCGGGUUGCAGAGCGGUUGCGUCGCCUCUCCAGCGCGCCCUCAUGCCCGGACACGGCUCACUACACGAAAGUCGGCCGGCCCUCGCGGUCGUCCCGUCGGGCAGAUCGCAUCAACGACUGUGGCAAACGUCGUUGUCGAUGACUCCUCUUCUUCAUCUGACGAAGACAAGCAGAUGCACUUGAUCCUCGACGGAGUACCGGCGAGGCUGCCUAGCCCGACCCUCGACGUCGGCCCCUCGGGAACGACGUCACCGCCGACACUCUUGAGCCCAAGUGGCAAUCGGGUCAUCCAUCGGCUGGCACACCACCUCUCCCCUCGGCCUCGCGUACCGGGGUCAUGGUCUGCAACUGCAAGAUCGUCGGACGACAACAUUGGGCACGAGCGCUCAUGCUCGCCCCCUCGCCAUCUUCCCUUAUGUGCGGGCUCGAUGUCCGGCUUUGGCACGGCAAGGCCACGACGCGUUCGGCCACGGCGCGCUUGGGUCCUGCGUGGCGGACGCGGCCCCGGUGCGGCUUUCCCCGGCCACGGCGGCUUCAGGAGCAGGUCCAAGGUGGCUACCGGCUACCAGUUGGAGCCACGGGCGCUCGACGGCUGGCGGCGGCCCAUGGCGGCGGCUGUUGGCGGCGGUUAG
rnacentral:misc_RNA from 1 species